CCUUGCGGGAGGAUCAUG
rnacentral:rRNA from 1 species